UCCUGGCUUAGGAUGAACGCUAGCUACAGGCUUAACACAUGCAAGUCGAGGGGCAGCAUUGGAGUAGCAAUACUCAGAUGGCGACCGGCGCACGGGUGAGUAACACGUAUCCAACCUGCCGCUUACUCGGGGAUAGCCUUUCGAAAGAAAGAUUAAUACCCGAUGGUAUAAAGAGUUCGCAUGUUCUCUUUAUUAAAGAAUUUCGGUAAGCGAUGGGGAUGCGUUCCAUUAGAUAGUUGGCGGGUAACGGCCCACCAAGUCUACGAUGGAUAGGGGUUCUGAGAGGAAGGUCCCCCACAUUGGAACUGAGACACGGUCCAAACUCCUACGGGAGGCAGCAGUGAGGAAUAUUGGUCAAUGGACGAGAGUCUGAACCAGCCAAAGUAGCGUGAAGGAUGACUGCCCUAUGGGUUGUAAACUUCUUUUAUAAGGGAAUAAAGUGAGGGACGUGUCCCUUUUUGUAUGUACCUUAUGAAUAAGGAUCGGCUAACUCCGUGCCAGCCGCCGC
rnacentral:rRNA from 1 species